rnacentral:piRNA from 1 species
GGAGACUGUUUCUUGGUGCAGAUGU